GUCUAUGGCCAUGCUACCCUGAACAACCGCGAUCCCAUCUGAUUUCAAGCUAAGCAGGUUCAGGCCUGGUUAGUACUUGGAUGGGAGACCACCUAGGAACACCAGGUGCUGUAGGCA
rnacentral:rRNA from 1 species